rnacentral:rRNA from 1 species
GACAGAGGGUGCAAACGUUGUUCGGAAUUACUGGGCGUAAAGCGCGUGUAGGCGGCUUUGCAAGUCGGGUGUGAAAGCCCUCAGCUCAACUGAGGAAGUGCGCCCGAAACUGCAUGGCUCGAGUACCGGAGAGGAUGGUGGAAUUCCCGAAGUAGAGGUGAAAUUCGUAGAUAUCGGGAGGAACACCGGUGGCGAAGGCGACCAUCUGGACGGAUACUGACGCUGAGACGCGAAAGCGUGGGUAGCAAACGAGGA